UUGGAGGGCAAGUCUGGUGCCAGCAGCCGCGGUAAUUCCAGCUCCAAUAGCGUAUAUUAAAGUUGUUGCAGUUAAAAAGCUCGUAGUUGAAUUUCGGGGUUAGCAGGUUGGUCGUGCCACUGGUAUGAACUGGCCUCGCUGAUUCCUCCCUCUUGAUGAGCCGUAAUGCCAUUAAUUUGGUGUUGCGAGGAAUCAGGACUGUUACUUUGAAAAAAUUAGAGUGUUUAAAGCAGGCAAGCGCUUGAAUACAUUAGCAUGGAAUAAUGAAAUAGGACGUUUGAUCUUAUUUUGUUGGUUUCUAAGAUUGACGUAAUGAUUAAUAGGGAUAGUUGGGGGCAUUAGUAUUCAAUUGUCAGAGGUGAAAUUCUUGGAUUUAUUGAAGACUAACUACCGCGAAAGCAUUUGCCAAGGAUGUUUUCAUUAAUCAAGAACAAAAGUUAGGGGAUCGAAGACGAUCAGAUACCGUCGUAGUCUUAACCAUAAACUAUGCCGACUAGGGAUCGGAUGAUGUUAAUUUUUUAAUGACUCAUUCGGCGCCUUACGGGAAAC
rnacentral:rRNA from 1 species